CGGGACUCUUUCGAGGCCUCGUAAUCGGAAUGAGUACACUUUAAAUAUUUUAACGAGGAACAAUUGGAGGGCAAGUCUGGUGCCAGCAGCCGCGGUAAUUCCAGCUCCAAUAGCGUAUACUAAAUUUGUUGCGGUUAAAAAGCUCGUAGUUGCAUUUGUGCGCCGCACUGCCGGUGCACCGCAUCCGCGGUGAUACUGGCGUGUCUGCGGAGCAUAUCGUCGGUGAGCCGUCGUUCACGCGGCGGUUCAAUAUCAAAAUCCUAUCGCGGUGCUCUUAAGUGAGUGUCGAGAUGGGCCGACAAUUUUACUUUGAACAAAUUAGAGUGCUCAAAGCGGGCUCAAAAUGCUGCUUGAAUAUUUCGUGCAUGGAAUAAUAGAAUAUGAUCUCGGUUCUAUUUUGUUGGUUUUCAGAACUCCGAGGUAAUGAUUAAUAGGGAUAACUGGGGGCAUUCGUAUUGCGACGUUAGAGGUGAAAUUCUUGGAUCGUCGCAAGACGAACAUCAGCGAAAGCAUUUGCCAAAGGUGUUUUCAUCAAUCAAGAACGAAAGUUAGAGGUUCGAAGGCGAUUAGAUACCGCCCUAGUUCUAACCGUAAAUAUGUCAUCUAGCGAUCCGCCGACGUUACUACAAUGGCUCGGCGGGCAGCUUCCGGGAAACCAAAGAUUUUGGACUCCGGGGGGAGUAUGGUUGCAAAGCUGAAACUUAAAGGAA
rnacentral:rRNA from 1 species